UGUGUGUGUGUGUGCACAACCACCUACACAGUUAUGUACAACUAUCCAUAUACAUACACACACACACAGAGCCACAACCACACAUAUACAC
rnacentral:miRNA from 1 species